AUAUGGUGUAUUUUGCAUUAAUAUUUUUGAUAUAUUAGGAUUGAUAUUGGAUUUUAUU
rnacentral:tRNA from 1 species